rnacentral:rRNA from 1 species
CCUACGGGGGGCAGCAGUGGGGAAUAUUGGACAAUGGGGGGAACCCUGAUCCAGCGACGCCGCGUGAGUGAAGAAGUAUUUCGGUAUGUAAAGCUCUAUAAGCAGGGAAGAAAAUGACGGUACCUGACUAAGAAGCCCCGGCUAACUACGUGCCAGCAGCCGCGGUAAUACGUAGGGGGCAAGCGUUGUCCGGAUUUACUGGGGGUAAAGGGAGCGUAGACGGUGCAGCAAGUCCGAUGUGAAAGGUGGGGGCCCAACCCCGGGAGUGCAGUUGAAACUGUUGAACUGGAGUGCAGGAGAGGUAAGUGGAAUUCCUGGUGUAGCGGUGAAAUGCGUAGAUAUCAGGAGGAACACCGGUGGCGAAGGCGGCUUACUGGACUGUAACUGACGUUGAGGCACGAAAGCGUGGGUAGCAAACAGGAUUAGAUACCCCUGUAGUC